AGUGAGGUGGCUGAAUUAAUAGGUAUUAAACUGUAAAUUUAAUUAUGAGUUGAACUCUCUUACUA
rnacentral:tRNA from 1 species